CAACUACUCCCUCUGUCCCAAAUUUCUUGUCUUAGAUUUGUCUAGAUACGGAUGUAUCUAAUACUAAAAUGUGACUUGAUACAUCUGUAUCUAGACAAAUCUAAGACAAGAAUUUUGGUACGGAGGGAGUACUUU
rfam:Triticum aestivum genome assembly, contig: Triticum_aestivum_CS42_TGACv1_scaffold_026375_1AS